GCACGGGUGAGCCAGGCAGAGGUAGAGUGAGUGACUGUCCAGAGAUGUUCUCUGGAGGAUGCCUUCUAACUGCAGCUCUCCACCGGCAGCAGCAUCCAGCGCUUGUUAGACACUGCGCUCUGUGCCUGUCUCAGGCAGAGGUCCCAGACACUGUGCCACACCAGGACCAGAGCCUCACCCUCCAGGACCUCCUCUCUUCUGCUCAGACUUAGAGCCUGCAAGACUAUUAGAGGGGUCCCAGCUUGUUUUAAACAACCCCAUACAUAGUCCCUUCCAGCUGUCCAUAGGAUGAGGAUCUUCCACACACUGAAGCCGGCUCAGCUCUCAUGCCCUCUGUUCAUCUCCAGAGAGGAGCAGAAAUGGAGCCAGUGAGCCACAUGGCAGCCACCAGCAGGCACACCAGUACCAUGUUGAGGAGUUUCAUGGUGAUAAGUUUCUGUCUCAAGCCUCUCUGGAGCAACCACCGAAUGUCUGGUGAAGCCAAGAGCUCUCUCCUGCUUCAUCCUGUACUGAGCUUUUAUCAGAAGGUCCAGGGUGCUUUCCCAGACGAUGGGGAAAAGGUGGGUGUUCCAGGGAGAAGGAAAUCAUACCCAGUGGCCACAUGGAAAACUCCUUUUGUCACCUCUCCUGGGGGGGGUGUUUGAGGUAUGUUUGGGUGCCUAGUGGCUUUGGGAACUUCCCUAAGUGCAAAAGCAGAUACCGAUCUUUACGUUCUUGACAAAAUACGUGGGAGCUGUCCUGGCUGAGUGGAAAGUCAAAAAAGGUGAGAGAGAGAGAGGAAGUGGCCUGUGCACAGCUUGUCUAACUCAUAUCAUCUCAUUCAAAGCAGCUACUGGCCUCAGAGAAGGACAAAGCAGAACAGCACAACCUGCAUCAAAUCGAGCCUGGGUCUCGGUUCCAGCUCUGCCCAUCAACGACUGCACAAAAGCACAUCUAAGCUGCACAUCCCUACAAAAUGGAACUAGUACAGAUCUCAAAUCUGGGUGGUAAGAGUGAAAUGCAGAGCUGGGGAGAUGGCUCGGUCAGCAAAGUACUAGCUACACAAGUGUGAGGAAUGGAGUUUGAUCUCUAGAACCCACAUAAAAAGUGGGGGUAGUGGAAUGGUCUUAUAAUUCCAGAGCUGGAGAGGCUGACAGGUUGAUCCUUGGGGCUGGCUGAGCCUAAAUGGAGAGCUCCAAGACCAGUGAGAGAACUUAUCUCAAAAACCUACCUAGGUUGGCUAGACUAAUCUAUGUUAGCCUGUGUGACUGAAAAAUCUUGUUCGUUGCUAAUUGAGUGGAGUACAACCAACUAGAUAGUUACAGCUCUUCCCAAAUACUCAAGUAUCAGCCUUCCAUUUUGCUCUCCUAUCUCCACUAUUUCAUCCCUACUGUAGCAUCGACCUGUACCACCUUCCUAGUCAGCUCCCUCCGUGCCCAGGCUGCUCAUUUCAAACACCCUUCCUCCAAUAAAAGUCAUUUGCCAGCCCCUCCAGGCAGACCUCAGCCUCCAUUGAAAGCCCUGUGUCCGAAUGGCAAUAAGAAGUCCUUGUUUUCCUCCAUCUCUCCAUUGGGGCUCCCUCCGUGCCACCAUGGCGUGUCUGAGUUGAAUGAGCCUUUCAAGACCUUUAGCAAUGAUGGCACUUGGCACUCCUGAGGGAGCUUUGUCGAAACUGGGAACGUCUUGGCUCCAUUUCAGAAGCAGAAUCAAAACUCAAGUGCCUGUACUUGUGAGAAGAAAACUCCAGGUGAUUGUCAAUGCACCAAGAGAUAACAUCUUCACCAUGCAGAGGAGGGGGGGUGACUUUCACAAAGAGUGAAAUCUUGGGCUUGAUGGUAUAUUGAGAAUUGGGAAAGUAGCAAGCAGAAAUUAUUGAUGGUGGAUUGACAAACAAAAAUGCCCCCAGGAUAAGCACUGUUAUCCUUCACACAAACAAACCUUCUUUCUGUUGCUUGUACUUAGGAGCCCUUGUCACUCAUCUUUCAUUUUCUAGGGACCACUGAGUGAGGAUGGGGACCAGGUGGCUGGCAACCAGGGUGGAGUCAUCCUGAGAUGCUGUCCAGAAGCAUUCGGCCCAGCCCUGCCUUCCACCUUCUACUGAGUUAUAUAUCAGGGAGAGGACAGUGACUAGAGCCAGACACAGCCACAACAGAUCUCAGUGCUACUACUUCACCUUGGGCAGGUAACACAGGCUUCCUGAGCUGUGUUUCCUCUUGGAUCUAGGACAACUCUACUACUGUUGAAAUAAACUUCCUAAAC